rnacentral:lncRNA from 1 species
GCUCGAACAUUGACGAAGUUCGGAAGAAGUUCGGAGUAAGAUCAUUCGUGGUCGGAAAAAGUUUGGAAGAGAUUCGGAGAAUAGUCGAUCACCGUAGAAAAUAGGCUGAUAGUGAAACUCAGAAAGCGUUUGGAGCAGCCCGAUGGAUGAAUGGAGGAGCUCAUUAUCGGAGAAGUCCGAAUGGUAUUAUGGAAGCUCGGACGGUCGGGGGAGUUCAGAAAGAUGCCACAAAAGGUCGG